rnacentral:rRNA from 1 species
GACGAACGCUGGCGGCGUGCUUAACACAUGCAAGUCGAACGGAAAGGCCCUGCUUUUGUGGGGUGCUCGAGUGGCGAACGGGUGAGUAACACGUGAGUAACCUGCCCUUGACUUUGGGAUAACUUCAGGAAACUGGGGCUAAUACCGGAUAGGAGCUCCUGCUGCAUGGUGGGGGUUGGAAAGUUUCGGCGGUUGGGGAUGGACUCGCGGCUUAUCAGCUUGUUGGUGGGGUAGUGGCUUACCAAGGCUUUGACGGGUAGCCGGCCUGAGAGGGUGACCGGGCCACAUGGGGACGGGGAAACGGCCCGAAUCCCAACGGGAGGCACCGGGGGGGAAUAUGCACAAUGGGCGGAAGCCUGAUGCAGCAACGCCGCGUGCGGGAUGACGGCCUUCGGGUUGUAAACCGCUUUCGCCUGUGACGAAGCGUGAGUGACGGUAAUGGGUAAAGAAGCACCGGCUAACUACGUG